UACGUAGGGUGCGAGCGUUCAUCGGAAUUACUGGGCGUAAAGUGUGCGCAGGCGGCAGAGCAAGUCGAGUGUGAAAGCCCCGGGCUUAACUUGGGAAUUGCGCUCGAAACUACUUUGCUGGAGUGUGGCAGAGGAAGGUGGAAUUCCACGUGUAGCGGUGAAAUGCGUAGAGAUGUGGAGGAACACCAAUGGCGAAGGCAGCCUUCUGGGCCAACACUGACGCUCAUGCACGAAAGCGUGGGGAGCAAACAGG
rnacentral:rRNA from 1 species